UCAGACGAUGCGUCAUGCAUAUCAAUAAGCGGAGGAAAAGAAACUAACAAGGAUUCCCUUAGUAACGGCGAGUGAAGCGGGAAGAGCUCAAAUUUGAAAUCUUCAAGGUUUUACCUUGACGAAUUGUAGUUUAAAGAAGUGUUUUCUGUUGAAGUUUUGGUAAAAGUUCAUUGGAAUAGGACAUCAUAGAGGGUGAGAAUCCCGUAUUUGACCAUUAUUUUCAGCUGUGUGAUACACUUUCAAAGAGUCGGAUUGUUUGGGAAUGCAGUCCAAAAUGGGUGGUAAAUUUCAUUUAAAGCUAAAUAUUGGCGAGAGACCGAUAGCGAACAAGUACCGUGAGGGAAAGAUGAAAAGAACUUUGAAAAGAGAGUUAAAGCAGUACGUGAAAUUGUCAAAAGGGAAGCGUUUGACACCAGUGUUGUUUUCUCGAAAAUCAAUUAAAAAGAGUUAGAUUUUGUUGUGUAUUGACCUUAACAGCUUGCAUUUCAAUUUUCUUGCUUUUUUUAAUGCACUUUUCGUUUAACAAGUCAACAUCAGUUUCUUUUGUUGUAAAAGGGUCAUUGGAAGGUGGCUUUCUUUUCGGAGAAAGUGUUUAUAGCCUUUGGCCUCUGCAAUCGGAAGAGACUGAGGUCUGCAGCGUAGACUCUUCGGGGUUAGAUACAUUUGUGCUAAGUUAUAGCUUUUUAUAGACAACUUGUUGACUAUGAUUAGUCUUGUAGCUUACUCGCUUAUGCUAUUUUACCUACGCUUAGGAUGUUGAGUCGUAGAGCACGCA
rnacentral:rRNA from 1 species